rnacentral:rRNA from 1 species
AGAAUCAAACGCUGGCGGCGUGCCUAACACAUGCAAGUCGAACGAGUAAAGUGGAGCAAUCCAUGAGUAAAGUGGCGCACGGGUGAGUAACACGUGACUAACCCUACCCUUGAGUGGGGAAUAACUUCGGGAAACCGAGGCUAAUACCGCAUAACACCUACGGGUCAAAGGAGCAAUUCGCUUAAGGAGGGGUCGCGGCAGAUUAGUUAGUUGGCGGGGUAAUGGCCCACCAAGACGGUGAUCUGUA